UUGCUUUGGCAGCAUGUAUACUAAAAUUGAAAUGAUACAGAGAAGAUUAGCAUGGCCCCUGAACAAGGAUGACAUGCAAAUUUGUGAAGCAUUCCAUAUUUUU
rnacentral:snRNA from 1 species